AUCCACUUCACUGGAGUUUACCAUGCAGACCCACGAUAGGGUAGAAGAAGUGACAAGAAGGGAGAAGCAGCAGCCGGUAUUUCAGCGUGGGUUACAUCAAGUAUGUGUCUGGACCCUCAGCUCUGGUGACAGCAGCCUCAACCUGAAAACAGCCUGAAGUUUUGCGAAUCCUCCCACGCUGUAGCACAUCCAGCAAGGUGGCCUCAAACACAGCCUGGAGCUCAGGAUGAGUGCUGGGGAAAGGCUGAAGCUCAGCCCAGUCCUGCUGCUCUCCAGCUAUUUUUCAUCAGGGAAAUCUGCAAGUGAAUAUAAAUCAGAACACAUUGAGGUUUCCCUGAUUCCUCUGUGAGAUUCUAGGUUGAAGUUAUAAUACAGACAUACAGUAACCUAAAAAUCAGAUUUGCUCCCUCUCUAGACUGCUGAUGUACGAAGUUCAGAGGAAAGGAACAGCAGGUUCCAAAUAAACAGGCAUAACCCUCAUUCAGAUUGGUUUAUAUGCAAUUGCUGUGUCAUUUACAUAUAUUCCAUUGCAUUUUCCAUGCAAUCAACAUUAAGUUGAAUGAAAGGCCCUUUUCUGAAGAUGUAAGUUAUCUUCUCAUCAGUAUGUAGGAAACACUCUAGAUUAAAUCAGAAUAUUUCUCAGAAUGCUCUUGAAAUUGCAGAGGUAAAUCCAAUCAGUUCUAAUUCUGUUACAAAAUCAUCUGCUCAAUUC